UACGGGGGGGGCAAGCGUUGUUCGGAAUUACUGGGCGUAAAGGGCUCGUAGGUGGCCAACUAAGUCAGACGUGAAAUCCCUCAGCUUAACUGGGGAACUGCGUCUGAUACUGGAUGGCUUGAGAUUGGGAGAGGGAUGCGGAAUUCCAGGUGUAGCGGUGAAAUGCGUAGAUAUCGGGAGGAACACCAGUGGCGAAGGCGAGUCCCUGGACAAUUCCUGACGCUGAGGCACGAAAGCCAGGGGAGCAAACAGG
rnacentral:rRNA from 1 species